rnacentral:rRNA from 1 species
UGCAAGUCGAACGAAGUAGCAAUACUUAGUGGCAGACGGGUGAGUAACAUGUAGGUAUCUGCCCUUUGGCCUGGAAUAACACGAGGAAACUUGUGCUAAUACCGGAUAAGUCUUUACAGAGAAAGCUUUAUGCACCAUUGGAUGAGCCUGCACUUGAUUAGUUUGUUGGUGGGGUAAUGGCCUACCAAGACUGUGAUCAAUAGCUGAUUUGAGAGGAUGAUCAGCCACAUUGGGACUGAGACACGGCCCAAACUCCUACGGGAGGCAGCAGUGGGGAAUCUUGCACAAUGGAGGAAACUCUGAUGCAGCGAUGCCGCGUGAGUAAAGAAGGCCUUUGGGUUGUAAAGCUCUUUCGUCGGGGAAGAAAAUGACUGUACCCGAAUAAGAAGGUCCGGCUAACUUCGUGCCAGCAGCCGCGGUAAUACGAAGGGACCUAGCGUAGUUCGGAAUUACUGGGCUUAAAGAGUUCGUAGGUGGUUGAAAAAGUUAGUGGUGAAAUCCCAGAGCUUAACUCUGGAACUGCCAUUAAAACUUUUCAGCUAGAGUAUGAUAGAGGAAAGCAGAAUUUCUAGUGUAGAGGUGAAAUUCGUAGAUAUUAGAAAGAAUACCAAUUGCGAAGGCAGCUUUCUGGAUCAUUACUGACACUGAGGAACGAAAGCAUGGGUAGCGAAGAGGAUUAGAUACCCUCGUAGUCCAUGCCGUAAACGAUGUGUGUUAGACGUUGGAAAUUUAUUUUCAGUGUC